GCCAAAACGUUGUCAGCCCAACUCAUCCUUCGACUUUUGAGCAUACCAACUACAUAAUAGAUAUAUUUGACCUGUUAUUAAAUAAUUUUCUCAGCUCUGCAUCCAGCAUUAUCCUACUCGGUGCACAGUGUUAGUAGCCCAAUCCUCCCUCUCCAUGUACCAUUCAUUACAACAACUAUAAGUGUUUGUUUAGUAAUUUUAUUUUGAAAUUUUCAGUCAAAUUACGAGAAAAAGCUUGAUAAAUUAUUGAAUA